rnacentral:rRNA from 1 species
GGCUUUUUGAUUAUAAUUUAAGGUCUAACCUGCCCAAUGAUUUAUUAAAUGGCCGCAGUAUAUUGACUGUGCAAAGGUAGCAUAAUCAUUAGUUUUUUAAAUGAAAGCUUGUAUGAAAGGUUUAAUGAGAAAAAUACUGUCUCUAUCUAAAUAUAUUAGAAUUUUAUUUUUAAGUUAAAAAGCUUAAAUAUUUAUUGAAGACGAGAAGACCCUAUAGAAUUUUAUAUUUUUGUUAAAUUUAUUUAGUUUAGAAUUUUAUAAAUAUUUUUAAUAAAAGUAUUUAGUUGGGGUGAUGAAAAAAUUUAUUUAACUUUUUUUUUAUUUAAACAUGAAUUAAUGAAUAUUUGAUCCUUUAAAUAUAAAGAUAAAAAGAAAAAAUUACCUUAGGGAUAACAGCGUAAUUUUUUUUAGAGUUCUUAUCAAAAAAAAAGAUUGCGACCUCGAUGUUGGAUUAAAAUAAAUUAUUGGUGUAGAAGCUAAUAUUUUAGGUCUGUUCGACCUUUAAAUUUUUACAUGAUCUGAGUUUAAACCGGUGUGAG